rnacentral:rRNA from 1 species
AUGGAUUUUAAAAGCCUUCGGAAUAUCCAGUGUGACCAUCUAUUCAACAAUCUCAGUGUGUCGCUUGCUGAUCUGUACGACCCCGAUUCCCGUGAGGUGGUCGUACCAGGGCGAGGCAGGCUUCCGGUUAAUGAGGAAUAUGUGCAUCGUGUUAUGGGCGUGCCGCAUGGAGAGAAUGAUGUCCCUUACAACCUCCCUACUGAAGCUGAUAUUGAGUUAGGGCUUGAGUUGUUUGGCGAGCUUGGAUAUGCCCCUAAAAUGACUGAUCUUGUUGAUCUCAUAAAGGGUUUUGAAAAUUCUGAUGAUACAUUCAAGCGUAUGUGGCUUUUGCUUGCGGGGAAUACAAUCAUUGCCCCGACCACCUCCAACAAAGUUAGCCCCAGAUGGUAUGCUGUGCUGUUUCUUUUUGUUUUCAACUUGGAGCGUGACAUCAAUGGUAUUAAAAAUCUGAAUUGGCCCAAAUUUAUUGCUGAUGAACUACACAAGGCGCUGCUGAAACACAAGCCUACCCGGGGUUGCCUUCUCUUCUACAAUCCUGAUGGUCCUUUUCCCAUCAAUGUCUGGACGAAGAAGCUGAUAACUCUUGUCCUCAACAAGGAUGUUCAGGCUAACAAAGUUUCUUUUGGGAAACUACCAUUGAAGCGUGAGUUUGGCAUGAAUUUCUGUCUGUUUGGUGGUCUGGAAGGUCUUGACAAGUUUAUGUGUGUUCAUACUGCCCCAAGCUGCAGUCAGGAGGGCCAUUCAGAUGCGUCCCCUCAGCUAGACGCUGGAUUGAAUGUUCUUUCUUCUGCUGCCCGUACAAUGGCAAGGACCAUGCGCUCAACGCAAGGCAGGUGGCCAGAAAGCCCUGGAAAGAAUGUUGCUGAAGAUUCUGAUAGUGAUGACGAGUAUCACGGAGGCAAUGAUGCUAAGUCUAAUGAAGACUCCGAUGAUGAUGACGAUGGUGAUGAUAUGGAUUAUCGAGUUGUUCGUCGUUGCUGUAACGAUCCUUUCGUUGCUUCAGGCAGUGCAUCAGUCGGAUCAGGUGAUGGAGGGCUUAGCCAGCAAGGUCUGACAGACACACAAGCUGAGGCGGCCACUGAAUCUUCUGUCAAGCGGUGUGGUUCUCAGCUUCUGAAAAAAUUGGCUUACCAGAGGCACAAGAAACUGAGGCUACCAUCACCCCCCCUUCUAGCUUCACCAACUGUGCCGUUCCGUCCAACUUCACCAGUUGUGCCCCCCAGCCCAUUGCAAAGGUCGUCUUCACCAAAUGCAUUGUCAGCAGCUGAAAUUCAUUUAGCUGCGAAGAAAGUUGUGGUCCAGGAGCCUGGUAUACGUGUGGCUGAAAAGGGAACUGGUGUCGCCGUCCCACUAUCCACCAUGCGGAAGGAGGCCCCACGCAGGGCACCUGGAAAACAAUUUGCUGCUGCUAAGGAUUCAAAGAUUGCACCAACAACAUCAUCAGAGACAACAGAAGUUAUCCAUCUUGAUGAAUCUCUUGCGGUGACAUCUCCGCCUGAUAAAGCAGCAGCAGCUAGCAAGGGUGCAUCUGAUGUUGUUGCGGCGACAUCAGCUGGUGUUUCUGAUGACACUGUAGAUCAGCUUGCUGCAGCAACUGUUACUACUGUUGUUGAAGAUAUCGCCAACGCGGCUGGGGCUGUUGAAUGUGAAAAUGAAGUCGUUGCCAAUGUAGGGCAUGAUGAAGUUGAAGCCGUUCAUGUCAUUGAAGAAGUUGUGGGAGUAGCUGACCCUGUGUUGGAGUCGAGCACCCCUGGAGCUAGAGAAUACAAUGGUAAUUUGAUGCCACCCAGCUGCUCUCUUGGGCUUGAUGCCAUCUUUGGUGCGAGUCCACAAGUGCCACCAUCUACUAAAGCAACUCUAACGGUUCAAGCUGCACCAGCAUUGGCUCAAGUUCCACCUGUAGCACCAGAAGCAUCGGCGGUGGCGCCAUCGGCUCAAGUACCACCUGCAGCACCAGAAGAAUUGGCGACAAAGGGAUCGGAUCAAGUUCCACCUGCAGCACCAGAAGCACCUGUGGCAGCGCCAUCGGCUCAAGUACCACCUGCAGCACCAGCUACUGGCCCUGUCGCUGUUCUAGGGCUUGCAUCUCCUGUUGCUACUGGCUCCAAGGGCAAGACAGUGGUGAAAGUUGCCAAUGCGCAACCGGUUGCUUGGGCUCCGCCAUCCAACUCUGACAACCCUCAAAGUCCAACAUUUGUUACACCAGAGUUACCACCUUGCACAGAGCAUUUAGUAUGCAGUUCAACCCCUAAAUCCUUUAUUCGGAAAGUUAGGGUCACCCACCCGUCCAAAUACCUGCUCCCGUAUUUUUCCACCCUCACACCGACCGAGGAGGAAGAGUUUGUUUACAAUGAAGUUGUCAAGCAUACUACUGAUUCUAACUCUAAGAUUAAAGAUGUUAGGGUCAUCAACAUUGAUGGUAGGUGGGUCACCCUCGGUGAGCUUGCCAAUUGUGUGAAGGGAAUUGGGCAACUAUCAACUAGCAUUGCUGAGUUACAUGUUCGCAUUCUUCAGCUCAUCAGGAUCAGGUAUGUUAUGUUUGCUGGACCUGGUAUGUUAUGUUUUCUGGUCCUGCUGCUAUUCCUUGCUUUGCAAAAGUUGGGCCUCGGUCCAAAUGACGGGCAUUGGUAUGUGUUGUCACUAAAUCUCAGGGCGAAGCGGUUCGAAGUUCUAGAUUCAUUGCGUGAACAAGAUAGUCCUUCUCUUCUCGACCAUGUGACAAGAUACAUGAAUGCUAUAAAGAAGGCUUGGUUGAUAAAUUACAAGGACUCACAUAAGUAG